CGUGAAAUCAGCCGUGUAACGUGACCCAUACUCGACUGACUUUAGGACCCGCGCGGAGCUGCUGGAGCGCUGGCCUCUGCUGCAGUCAGCGUGAGCAGCGGAGCAUCCGGAGGAGAGCUGGCCGGCUGGGGAGGCGGUGGAGGACGGGGAGAGCGAAGCAGAAGGAGGAUCCGGGAGUCAGCGAAAACAAAAAAAAAACAAAAAAGGGGUCAGGCCUGGAACUUGGCGAAGCGGUCACUCAUUUGGCGAUGCCGUCCAGCUCAGUUACCACCGCCGCCGCAUUCAAGAGCUCCGACAUCAACUGUGACACGAACGGAAAUCAAAUGAAUGAGAGCUCUAGAAUGGACACCGUGAUUAUUGACGAGAUGCCUUCGCUCUGCACUCCUGUCCGCAAGGUUGGACGGCCUGGCCGCAAACGCAAGCACCUCCCC